UACGGAGGGUGCGAGCGUUGUCCGGAAUCACUGGGCGUAAAGGGCGCGUAGGCGGCUUCUCAAGCGUGUGGUGAAAGUCCGGGGCUCAACCCCGGAUCGGCCGUGCGGACUGGGGAGCUCGAGUUCUGUAGAGGCGGGUGGAAUUCCGGGUGUAGCGGUGGAAUGCGUAGAGAUCCGGAAGAACACCGGUGGCGAAGGCGGCCCGCUGGGCAGAGACUGACGCUGAUGCGCGACAGGCGUGGGGAGCAAACAGG
rnacentral:rRNA from 1 species